GCCCCCGUAUCCCAAUCGGCAGAGGAAGUCGCCUUAAAAGCGACCGAGUGUGGGUUCGAGUCCCACCGGGGGCAC
rnacentral:tRNA from 1 species